rnacentral:rRNA from 1 species
CAUCAGCCGCCGCGGGAAUACGAAGGGUGCAAGCGUUAAUCGGAAUUACUGGGCGUAAAGCGUGCGUAGGCGGUUUGUUAAGUCUGUUGUGAAAUCCCCGGGCUCAACCUGGGAAUGGCAAUGGAUACUGGCAAGCUAGAGUGUGUCAGAGGAUGGUGGAAUUCCCGGUGUAGCGGUGAAAUGCGUAGAGAUCGGGAGGAACAUCAGUGGCGAAGGCGACUAUCUGGGCCAACACUGACACUGAGGCACGAAAGCGUGGGGAGCAAACAGGAUUAGAUACCCCAGUAGUCCCUGUCUCUUAUAC